rfam:Daphnia pulex DAPPTscaffold_319_Cont8653, whole genome shotgun sequence.
GCGGUGGUGGUAUAGUGGUUAGCAUAGUUGCCUUCCAAACAAUUGACCCGAGUUCGAUUCUCGGAUAUCGCA